rnacentral:rRNA from 1 species
GACGAACGCUGGCGGCGUGCUUAACACAUGCAAGUCGAACGAAGUGGCGAACGGGUGAGUAACGCGUAAUCAACCUGCCCUUCAGAGGGGGACAACAGUUGGAAACGACUGCUAAUACCGCAUACUGAAGGAGGGGAUUGCGUCUGAUUAGCUAGUUGGGGGGGUAACGGCCUACCAAGGCGAUGAUCAGUAGGCGGUCGGGAAGGAUGAACGGCAAAAUUGGGACUGAGAAACGGCCCAAAAUCCUACUGGAGGCAGCAGUGGGUAAUCUUCCGAAAUGGAGGAAAGUCUGACGGAGCACCGCCGCGUGAGUGAUGACGGCCUUCGGGUUGUAAAGCUCUGUUAAUCGGGACGCGGUACCGGAAUAGAAAGCCACGGCUAACUACGUGCCAGCAGCCGCGGUAAUAC